UUUCCGUUUCUCAGAUUAUGCUGGGGAAGGUUUUCCGGUUUAUCCCGGAGGGCUUGUAGCUCAGUUGGUUAGAGCGCGCGCUUGAUAAGCGUGAGGUCGGAGGUUCAAGUCCUCCCAGGCCCACCAAUUUAAUUAAGUGCUGAUAAAGUGCUUAUUAUAAGGUGCACACAACAUGUGUAGUUUAUCAAUUAUGCUGAAGCGAUUUUGACUCAGAUUAAGUUUAUAUAUAAAUUUAUGAGUUUUGUUUUUUAUCCUUUUUAGGGGCCGUAGCUCAGCUGGGAGAGCACCUGCUUUGCAAGCAGGGGGUCGUCGGUUC
rnacentral:misc_RNA from 1 species